UUAAGGUGUUUUGGUUAAAAUUGUGGGUUAUUCCCAAAAAAAAAAUAACAAAUUUGUGUACAAUUGUGUUAAAAAUUUUGUUGCCUACAGUUCGCACUUUAUUAUAUUUUUGUCUUAAGAAAAUAUCAACAGCAAAUUAUUAGAUCCAACACCAUAAAAACACCAUACGGGUACUUUCCUGUUCCUGUUAACACUGAAAAUUUAAUUGCACUUACGUCUGGUCGCUUCCCCUCGACCCUCCACCUGGCGCUCCUCUUGUUGUGGCUUCUCGUUGUAUCAUUAAUUAUUAUAGUAGUUACUUCAAAGAAUCUACUUAUCUCCGAGAAACUCGAAGAGCACAUACUUCGCACCUAAGUUCAGUCAACCGGGGAAUCUAAAUAGUUGUGGCGGUAGUGUUACGGUGUAAUAAUAUGCAAAAUUUGAAAAAUGGGGCAAUUCUACCAUCUUCUGGCGAAGCCAGCGAACAUGGUUGUAGUAGGAAUAAAAAGAGAAAGGUAAUAAUUGCUGUAUGUGUCGUUGGACUUGUUUUACUAGUAGCUGGACUCUUCUACCUAGGAUUUUC
rnacentral:lncRNA from 1 species